rnacentral:rRNA from 1 species
GCGUUAAGUUGCAGGGUAUAGACCCGAAACCCGGUGAUCUAGCCAUGGGCAGGUUGAAGGUUGGGUAACACUAACUGGAGGACCGAACCGACUAAUGUUGAAAAAUUAGCGGAUGACCUGUGGCUGGGGGUGAAAGGCCAAUCAAACCGGGAGAUAGCUGGUUCUCCCCGAAAGCUAUUUAGGUAGCGCCUCGUGAAUUCAUCUCCGGGGGUAGAGCACUGUUUCGGCUAGGGGGCCAUCCCGGCUUACCAACCCGAUGCAAACUGCGAAUACCGGAGAAUGUUAUCACGGGAGACACACGGCGGGUGCUAACGUCCGUCGUGAAGAGGGAAACAACCCAGACCGCCAGCUAAGGUCCCAAAGUCAUGGUUAAGUGGGAAACGAUGUGGGAAGGCCCAGACAGCCAGGAUGUUGGCUUAGAAGCAGCCAUCAUUUAAAGAAAGCGUAAUAGCUCACUGGUCGAGUCGGCCUGCGCGGAAGAUGUAACGGGGCUAAACCAUGCACCGAAGCUGCGGCAGCGACACUGUGUGUUGUUGGGUAGGGGAGCGUUCUGUAAGCCUG